GCACUGCUGACGAGUCCCAAACAGGACGAAACAACUUGCCCAGUGC
rnacentral:hammerhead_ribozyme from 1 species